CAUUCUAGCCUGGGCAACAGAGCGAGACUUGGUUGAAAAAAAAAACAAGAGAGAGAAAAAUAGAAUGAUUUUCAUCCUUGCUCACUGAAAACAACAUCACAGGGCAGGACAGAGGCUGAGAUUAUUAAGGAAUCACACAAAAGACCAGCUGUGAUGGUUAGAUUUAUCAGCAGGCAUGUGGCUUAUACCUGCCAUCCCAGCUAUGUGGAGCCUGAGGCAGGAGGAUCACUUGAGCUCGGGAAUUCAAGGCUGCAAUGAGCUAUGAUCAUACUCCAGCCUGGGGGAGUGAGACUUAUCUCUAAGUAAAUAAAUAAAUGUAAUGAGCCAGCUUGGCUAGGCCAUGGUGUCCAGGAGUUUGGUCAGACACUCUAGGUGUUUCAGGGAAGGUAGCAUGCAGAUGUGGUUAAGCUCCACAAUCAGUUAACUUUAAGUAAAGGAGAUGAAUGUAGGUGGGCCUCAUCCAGUCAGUUUAAGGCCUGAAGGGCAAAAACUGAGGUUCCCUGGAAAAGACGAAAUUCUGCCUCAAGAUUGUAACAGAGAAAUCAAGUCCUGCCUGAGAUUCCAGCCGUCUGGCUUGCCCACCAGGUUUUGAACCUGGCAGCCUCCGCAGCUGCCUGAGCCAGUUUCGAAAGUUGAAUCUCUUAACGUGCAUACACAAAUAUGGGAUAGGCUCUGCUCUCCUGGAGAGCCCUGAGUGGCAGCCUUCAGUGCCACAAAGCAGAGGGCGUGGGAGGGACAGGCGGGUGUCUGGGGGAAGUGGUAGUGACUGAGGGUCCACAGGGUGGACAGGUGAUUGGGCAGUGAGUGUGACAGCCUGCCAGGCAGGGGAAGCUACAGGUGUGAAGGGCUGUGGGGACAGUAGGUGAGUCCAAGGAACUGAAAGAAACAAAAUCAAGUGGAUUUGUAAGACUGCAGCAGCACUGGCAGGCAGGGGUGGGCCAGGCAAGAUCUGGUGGCCCGAUGAGGUCUGGACAAACCUUCUGGGAGCCACAUGAAGCCCUGGAGGAAGGCCCGAGGGAGAGAGGGGACUGGGGACAGGCAGUGACUGCCUUGGUGCCCUCCCUGUUGGACAACCAAGGGCUGGUGGUCUCUUGCUUCUGUCGAAUGGCCCCAUCCACACAUUAGCUGUGUCCUGGGGGUUUCAGUAAGUCUCUGUCCUCUUGUCCCUUCAGCCCUAGGGCUGGAAACAGCCCCACCAUUUCCAGUCCCAGGGACUGCACCAUCUUUGCUGUUUCCCACACCACACUAUGACUUUGUGAAUAACCUUUCAACUCAGCUCCCCUCCACUGCCCACUUUUAAUGCACCAUCUGUGUCCUGCCAGCACCAUGACCAGUCCAGGUGACCCCACAGACCUAACUCCAAGGGGCACAGCUGACAACGUUCUCUAAGCAAUGAGUGCCCCAGGAGCUCUGCUCCACAGAAAGCCAUGCCUCCAGCCCCACCCCGGAGACCCCUCUGAGGCGCUGGCCACCUCAGAGGAUUUGCAAGAAGCGCAUGAGUCAGCUGGAUGCCCUGAGCUCUGGCCUCGCCUCCACCUUGGGUAGCUGCUCUCGCUAGAAUCUGCCCAAACUCUGAUCCAGCUGCUGCUGGGGCACUCACCCAUGGGGAGAUUUCGUCAUCAGGCUCAUGACACUGAUAGGAUCUUUGGCAGGGAUGGCACCAGGGGAACCCUUGGACCACUCAGCCAAGCUCAACACAUUCCAGGUCCGACCAGGGGGACACCCCAAGCACCCUGUCCCCUAGGCUCCCUGAUGACAGCACCAGCCCCUCCCACAGAAAUGUAGUCAACACCAGUAGAGCCAGAGGGCAAGGUCCCCUUAGCCCGCCCAAGGCUGCUCCAAUCAGUGCCUGUGGCUUGACCACCGCCCACUCCCUGCCCACUCCCAGGCCCCUCUGGGAGUUUGAUCUGCUGGGUCCUCUCCUGUUGUUCUCCGACUCCUGCCGGGCUUAAAUAUCAAAGAAUCCUCAUUGUUUGAUAAUUCUGCAGACAAAAGCCCAUGGAAUAUCUCUAACUCGAUCCGGGCCUCUGGUCCGCUCUCCUUCUCCCUAUCUCCUGCCUCCCCACCUUAUCUGUGCGUGCCUGACCCAUCCGUAGCUCACACAUUUCUUUUGUGCGGAUGCCUGGCUAAAGUCCCCAGGGGCUCUUUGGGCAGGCAUUUGUUCUUUGGGCAGAGAAGGAAGUUGGGCUUUGAGAGACUACGCAGUAUUUUAGGGACUAGCUAGAGUACAGUUCCAGGUCCUAUGAGGGAGGUGAUGCCAUAAUCCCAUUUUACAGAAGGGGAUGCUGAGGCCCUUGGGCAUCAGUAGCUUACUCCAAGUCAUGUGGCUAGGAAGGGGUGAGGGCUGAUUCCUGAGCCUGCUCUUCCAUGCUUCACUUCUGUACCUCUCACCCAGCUAUCCAAGCAUGCCUGCGAUGCUUCAAGAACAUAGCUGGCAGCAUGCGUAUCUUCACUGCUAGAUAGCGAAGCCACAGACUAGGCCGGCUCCAGGAUCCAGCCCAGGGCAGUUCACACAUAGAAAUCUGCUCAUGAGGGACCAGUGCCUCCCAGGACAUGACGCCAAGGGCCGUAGCGAUCCACAAGUGGCAGGUGAAUGACAACCCAAGGGAGAAGGAAGGCUGUGUAAGGCAGGUGGCCAUGGAGGCAGGAGGCUUAGCACUGACAGAGGAGGGCAGAAGGGGAGGGUAAACCAGGCCUGUGCCCAAAAAAGCACAUGGUGGUGAUGAUGGAGACAUCGGUAUGUUUCAGCAAACAGGAUGUCCUUCAGAGUGGCUGCUGUGGGUGGAGUUGGAUCAUGGAAGUCCUGAGGAACACGGACUUGGGGACUGAAGGCAAGGGGGUGCCCGGCUGGCUUGUGAGCAACAGACAGCAGUGAUUGCAACUGGCACAUGGUGGCUGAACUGGAGAGGGGUGCACGGGACACCCUGUGGGAGUUGAGAGAGUGGCCCAGUCUGUGACUUGGGAAGCCUGUUUCCUUUGGAGCCUCUGUUUCCCUGCUCCUUUCUGCAUCAACGCCUGCCCAUUUCCCCCACAGCCCAGCAGUGCCAGCAGGUUGGGAGAACCCUUCGAUGUGCUUCCAAAUCUUCCUCUUUGCACCUUGGUGCCUCCUGUUUGUUCCUUUGCUGGGGAACUUGGGGGAAAUAAAAAGAUUCCCCUGAAGCACAAAUAGUGGCUCAGAGUAGGCAGUGUGGAGAAGUGCCCCAGAGAAACACGAUUAACCAGGAUUAGGAUCACAUGAGAAGGAGGCGAAUAUGUUUUCAUAUUCACAGCCUCACAAAAAGAAUUUAAAUCCACAAAUCUUCUUAUGUGUGUGGAUUGAGGAGUGCUAAAUUUGGAGUCCCAGGACAUCCAAAUGACAUUAGAAGCGUGUAAUGUGGCUAGGAAUUCAAGCGGUUGCACCAUAGGGCACUCAGGCUCACACCUGUCCCAGAACAAAGGAUUUCUCCCCAUUUGGGUGGUGCAGGAGGCUGAUAAAAAAGAAACAAUUCAGAGUUCCUAAUGCCCCUUGCACCUGCCCUCAGGCAUCUGUCGCUGGUUCUAAAACCCUCAGCAUAAAGGAAGGGCUGGGGGUGUGGCCGCUCUGGAGCUGAGAUUCACAAUCUGACAUGUGGCUUAAAGAGGCCCCUUCCUCCCUAGUCCCUGACUUCAUGGAAAUAUUUUAACGCUACUGAUUUUCAGGGGCAUCCAGGAGGCGCCUGAGGGAGCUGAGGGGCAACCUCUAGCGGUGUUCACAACGGGGAUUAAGAUCACAUUAUAAACCCAGCUGCGGCGAUGGUGAGGCGCGCAGCACCCUCCAGGGUUCUGGGAUGGGUGGGAACGUCAGGCGACAGCAGGCAUUUGGCAUGAACCAUCCCAUCCCCAGACACUGAAGGUUGGAGGGGUGUCACGGUGUCCAGUUGGAUCACAGGACUAACUGCCCUGGCCCAGGCCCAGCUGCACACCCAUCCCUGGGCCUCAGGAGAGGAAGGGUAGCUCUCAUCAGAAAGGGCCCAGUAGUCAGGAAAGGAGGGAGACCUUGCCCUCUUGACAAGGGACUGCCAAGCUGUCCACCGGGAGGACCGAGAGCUGUCCACGGGUGGCCGGAGCAGAUGGGCAAGGAUGGGCACCACGGGUCCAGGGCAUGUUCAGAGCAGCUGAAGCGUGGCGGUCCUGGUGAGGCUCGGGAUGGAAGAUACGAGAGGACACUGGGCAGCUUGGGCCUGCAGAGGCCCAGCAAGCAGAUAGGAGAGCAGGGGCCCGUUCUGAACAGGAGGCAUUCCCAGAGCCUGUCCCUGGGGGACAGGAGGCGUGGACUAUGGAGAGAGUGAGAUACUAGUAUUGAUGUCUCCCCAAGUGUGCCCUCAGCUCAUGAGUCCUGGAGAUGGCUGGGGAAGAAAGCACUGGGUCCUGUCCCUAAAGUGCACCAAGUCUGCACCAGGCACCAAGUCAGCACUUCUCUCAGGUUGCUUGUUUGACCUCAACAGCUUUACCAAGGGGGUGAUAUGUUCUCUUUCAAAGUGAAGAAAUGAGGCUAGGCGUGGUGGCUCAUGACUGACAUUGCAUACUUACAUAUAGCGGAAAGGAUUCCCCGAGCAACUAAGUUUCUUGAACUCAAGGGCUUUCUUAGUUCCCUACUGUAUUCCCAGAGGAGUGACUCUACACUCUCUUUCACAAUCACCUGGAAAGUAGGCAUUAUCCCCAUUUUAUAGAAGAGGAAACUGAGGCUGAGAAGUCCAGUGAUUGCAAUUUACCCAAUUUAACCCUUAGUUAAAUUGUUAGAGGUAGGAUUCAGAUCCAGAUAUGUGCAAUGCUAAUGCAUUGUUUGCAGACAUUCCUCCAUGAGUUUCUUGCAUUCCUGCACAUCUUGCUGGGUAGACAAAGAAUGCAAGGCUCUGACUGCUCUGUACCUGGGUUGCAUUUGCAGCAACCAAUCCUGAGACAUGCGGUAAUGUAUCCCUCUGGGACAAAAAGCUGGCUUGCUCGCUGUCUGUCACAAGAUGGUGGAUCCCCCAAGCUUGGUGUUCCUGUCCUAUAUCGUAACCCAUUGCAUGUGCAGGCAUCUAUAUGGGCCCUCUGCAUGCCCACUAUGGCACUUAGGGGGUGAAGGGGAGCCAACACAAAAGCUCACGCCGCUUUUGAACUGCGAAUAAUAAAGUCAAGAACUCUCUGAGUUUUACCGAAUAGAGAAAGUGGUCAUGUUGCGCCUGAACUGCUGUGGAGGGCACACGCUGUGUCUUAUUUAGCCUUAGUACUCUCGGUAUGUGCCCCUGGCCCCAGGCCCCUCUUAAGCACUUGUUUAAUUGACAGGCAGACACAUGGAUUACCCAAUGGUGCUGAAUGAUAAUGGGCUUGCUGGUCAACCACUGAGCUGCCUGCUCCUUGGAGGGAAGCUGCAGGGCUGGGCUCCGAGUCACACAGCACAGGCGUUUUUUGAGCCUUCCUUACAAGAACUCUUCAGGAGCUUACAGGCCAGAAACCAGACAGAAUUGCUUUCUGAGUAUUAUUUUUCCAGCUGAGUAAGAUGCAGUUAAUGGAAGGCUUAAUAAAUACUUCUGAGCCCUGUGGAAACAGAGACAUUCUGCUGCUUCUGGAAAUGAGUUUCUGGUUCUGCAGCCACAGGUCUCAGGUCAAGGAGAGGUGAGAAUGGGCGGAAGCUCUGGUCUAAAUGUCCAAGACAGGAUCACCAAGGUACUGCCCCCCUUUCUAGGACAUCUCUUUGCUAAGAGCCAGAGGUCUACAGAAUCAAAGGGGAGCUGACAGAAGCCCAGUCCCCAUGCCUGGCUGCUACCUGCCUUCGAGGCAAAAAGGUUGUAGCGUUUCCAGACCACAGGAACAUACAGAUGACCACACCUUUCUGUCCCAUUUUCAGAGUCUCCAGGAGGGGGCGAGACUUGCCCAAGUUUGUACACUGGCCGAGGUGGCACUCAGAUGAGACUACAGCACAUGAAGAGGCACCUGGCCCUGCUGUGGAGCCCAGGGGUCUGGUUCCUAGAGAGCCUGGAGCCUCAGAGCAACUUUCCUGGGACGGGGACCGGGGCCUCUGCCGGCCAUAAUGGGCUCAAUCCUGAACGCUGGUGUGUGGACGCUCUGGGAUUGUCCAGGCCACGGCACCCAACGGGGAUGGGGCUAUUUUUCCCAAAUACCACCCCUCUUCCGAGUUCUUGGACCCAGGAGCCCUUCUUUUUUAUCAACUGAUAAAUCUAUGUGAGCAAAAUCAACACAGAAAACAAAGUCAGAGAGAACCUGGGGCCCCUAACUCCUCAGCAUGUCUCUUCCAGCACACCCAGCCCCACGAACCGCUCCCCCAGGAACUCGGCUGGUGCUAACACCACCCUGUGAUGAAGGAGGGACCUGAGUCCGCACACAGGGCCCUAAGCCUAAUGGCUGUGCCCAGACAGAGGUCCGGAGGUCUGUCAGCCACUGCACCCCCACCCAGCCACUGUCUGCCUGCUGCACCUCCCUCCCUGAGCUCAGCACAAGGUCGGCAGUGUAGUUUCCAAAACUAUUUCUUCUCCUAUUUCUGUGGUUUUUUGAAUCCGGGUUCCUGCUCUGCCUGGAAAGACGGGCCUGACAUAGUGGACUGCAGUGUGCUGAGAACUCACAGCUCUAGUUAAAGAAGGUAUUUUGAGAAUACAUACAAAGCAAGAAGAUGAAACCAUUGCAAGCUUCAUCAAAGACAGAAAUUGUGCAAAGAGGAUUAAGGACUAAGACAAGUAGUUUCCUAUUAUACACCUUUCUUCUGCCCCAUG